CUCCCCCAGGCCAGGUUGUUCCCACCCGGCGCUCCCACGGGACGGAGCAGCUCAGCCAGCCCCCACCCAGCAGGGUUUAAAUCCCGGCUGGCGGGGCGCAGCAGCACGGCUCCCCGCAGCAGCAUGAUGCCAGGCACUGGCACCCUGGUGCUGGUGCUCCUGGCCCUGUGCGUGGAGCUUCCCCCCUCCCCAGCCCAGCAGCCCCGAGCAGGGGACCAUGGCGCUGCCCCCACUGCCGGCCCCCUGCCGCACCGUGCCCCGCGGGGCCGCAGGCUGCCAGCCACCCCGCCGGCCCCAGGCAAAGCAGGCGAGUGCCCGGCAGCGGGGAGCAGCCCCCCGCGCCCCAGCAGGCUGUACUGCCUCUCCGACCACAGCUGCCCCGGGGCCGAGAAGUGCUGCCGCCGCGGGGACGUCCGCGCCUGCCUCCUCCCUGCCACAGAGAGCCCAGGCUACUGCCCCCGUGCCGGCCCCAGCGGGGCGAGCUGCGGGGCGAGCUGCAGCAACGACACCGCCUGCGGCCCUGCAGGAGAAGUGCUGCACCCACAGCUGCUGCGCACGCUGCCUGCCCGCACAGCCAGCCAAACCUGGCCUCUGCCCUCGGAAGCGAGCAGCGGCGCGGCACAGCAGCGUGCCCCAGCCGCUGCGCUGACGACAGGGACUGCCCCGGGGACCACAAGUGCUGCUUCUCCGGCUGCGGCCUGGCCUGCACCUCCCCGCACACAGCAAAGCCCGGUGCGUGCCCCGUGGUGCUGCGGGGCUCCCUGGGGCCCUGCCAGGAGCUGUGCGACACCGACAGGCGACUGUCCCUGGGGCGAGGAAAUGCUGCUCCACCGGCUGCGGACACGUCUGCAAAGCACCCACCGAGGCCCGGCCGGGGCUCUGCCCCCCCGCAGCCGCCGGUGUCGGAGCAGGCGAGUGCCUCACGCUGUGCCUGCAGGACGAGGACUGCCCCCCCAGCCACAAGUGCUGCCUGCGGGACUGCGGCCGGGCGUGCGUCCCCCCGCUGCAGGGCACAGCCUAGCCCUGGCUGGGGAGGGCGGCACCGGGAGCUGUCAUUUUGGGGCCGUUCCCAGCCCGUGCCAUCGCGUCUCCAUGACGAGCCCGAGGUGCGAGGUGAAGCCCCGUGUCCUGCUCCCGCUGCGCCUGCCCGGCCCAUGCCAGGCGCAGGUGCCCCCGCUCCGCUUGGAAGCACCGAGACCGAAUAAAGCAGCUCCUGGCAGCCCGGCUGUGGGCAGUCCCCGUGGUUUGCUGGGGGGACGUGGUGCAGGCAGGGGGUGCAGGCAGGGGGUGCAGGCAGGUGCCGUGCUGGGUGCCCAGCUCCAGCAGCCGCGGGGCAGGGAGAGGCUCCGCUCCCACGUGGGUGCCUCCCGGGCACCCCCACCCCCCGU
rnacentral:lncRNA from 1 species